rnacentral:rRNA from 1 species
GUGAGGAAUUUUCCGCAAUGGGCGAAAGCCUGACGGAGCAAUGCCGCGUGAAGGAUGAAGGCCUAUGGGUUGUAAACUUCUUUUCUCAGAAAAGAAUUAUGACGGUAUCUGAGGAAUAAGCAUCGGCUAACUCUGUGCCAGCAGCCGCGGUAAGACAGAGGAUGCAAGCGUUAUCCGGAAUGAUUGGGCGUAAAGCGUCUGUAGGUUGUUUAAAAAGUAUUCUGUCAAAGAUUAGGGCUCAACCCUAGAUAGGCAGAAUAAACUUUUAAGCUAGAGUUUGGUAGAGGCAGAGGGAAUUCCCGGUGGAGCGGUGAAAUGCGUAGAUAUCGGGAGGAACACCAAAGGCGAAGGCACUCUGCUGGGCCAAUACUAACACUGAGAGACGAAAGCGAGGGGAGCAAAUGGGAUUAGAUACCCGUGUAGUCC